UCCAAUACAAGCGCGCAUUAGUUAGAUUCAAGUUUCAUUUCUACUUUUGGAGCAAUGAUUCAAGAUUUUGAUUUGCAAUUUCAUCUCCAAAUACCCUUGAGAGAGUUAAAGGACUUAGAUGUCAAGGUAUGUGAGCAGUUAAAUGACAAGCACCCAAGAUCAAGGUCUCAUUUCUCGUGCACUCCACAAUCUGACAUGCUUGGCAACUAUGACUGAUCAGUAUGUCUGCCUUUCUUCCAUAGCAAGAGUUUUUGUACAAACUAUAGACUGUAAUUGUCUGAUUCUGUAUAUGUACAACAACCUCCCUCCUGCGUUUUUC